UGAAUUUCUAUCAUUUGCAACCUGUCACUGUAAGGCACAAACAUGAUCACGCAAGAUGCGAUAGUAGAUUUAAGCCAGUUGUUUUUAAGUUUGUGUUUAAGGAGAAACUAACAAUGAAAACGCACUCGUUGACGGAGGAAAAGUUGGAAUGCAGCCUCUGGUGCUGUUUGAGCGAUCCCUCUCCCCGGGGCCUGGCCGCGCACUGCUGUGUUCUGGAAGGGCUCAUUGUACAGUCAAGGCGGCAGACUAGCCCUGCUUGCAACUUCCACGUGCAGUCCUCCUCAAUGCUGCCAGAACGGCAGCUACAACUCUAUGAUUGAAGGCAUCGCCCUCCUGGUUCUCCAUAUUGUUUGCCAUCUUGGACAGAUAAAUUAGAUGAGCUCUUUUUUCAACACUCAGAGAAUGUUUUGAAUUCGCAUUUCUGCCAUCUUACUCACCUAUUCGAAUCAGUUCCCUCCCCCUCCCUUGUAUCAAAUAUUGUCUCUGAUAAUAAUACAUUGAGUUAUUUGUAGUUCCUGAAGAAUUUCAUGUUCUUAUAACAUUAAAUUUUUU
rnacentral:lncRNA from 1 species